rnacentral:rRNA from 1 species
GGGUUGUGAGGUUAAGCGACCAAGCGUACACGGUGGAUGCCCUGGCAGUCAGAGGCGAUGAAGGACGUGCUAAUCUGCGAUAAGCGCCGGUAAGGUGAUAUGAACCGUUAUAACCGGCGAUUUCCGAAUGGGGAAACCCAGUGUGAUUCGUCACACUAUCAUUACGUGAAUACAUAGCGUAAUGAAGCGAACCGGGGGAACUGAAACAUCUAAGUACCCCGAGGAAAAGAAAUCAACCGAGAUUCCCCCAGUAGCGGCGAGCGAACGGGGAGGAGCCCAGAGCCUGAAUCAGCAUGUGUGUUAGUGGAAGCGUCUGGAAAGGCGCGCGAUACAGGGUGACAGCCCCGUACACAAAAGCGCACAUGUUGUGAGCUCGAUGAGUAGGGCGGGACACGUGGUAUCCUGUCUGAAUAUGGGGGGACCAUCCUCCAAGGCUAAAUACUCCUGACUGACCGAUAGUGAACCAGUACCGUGAGGGAAAGGCGAAAAGAACCCCGGCGAGGGGAGUGAAACAGAACCUGAAACCGUGUACGUACAAGCAGUGGGAGCCCCACCACUAAGCCAGUGGUGAACUCCACAUACGCAUCCUUUGUGGAAGAUGCGGUUAACGGAGCGAAAGCGACGUUCAACCUCA